rnacentral:lncRNA from 1 species
CCUUAAUCAUAAUUACAAACCAGACAAUUUCCCACUUAUUUAAACACCAUGUCCUAGAGGAGUACAUGCACUCUUCUCCACAAAUAACAAAGCAUUUAGCAAACAGAUCCAAAGCCUUUUCUUGCUUGUAUUCAUCCUUGUCAAACAAAGGAUUAAGAGUAUGGCAGCCAAGUCUUCACUGAAGCUAGCUCUUUUAGUUGCUCUCCUGAUAGUUGUAUCUUGUUAGUUUCUCUCUCUUUCUCUCUCUCCUCUCUCAAUUUGAAACUGUUGUUAGUUUAAGCAUCAUUACGUGAAAAAUAAUCAAAGGGUUUGUAUAUAUUGCAGAUUCGCAGAUGGUUGCUGGUGAUUUUGUUAACAGGGGACCCAUAGUUUCUUUCGCUUGCACACAGGAUGCAGAUUGCGUAGGUAAGAAAUGCCCGUGUGAUCAACGCUGCACUUGUCAAGCAAAGACAUGUACGUGUGCUCAACAUCCUGAAGAAAUAUCGGGACGUUGAUUAUUACUAGUGAUGAACUAAACCGGAUGUGUGCUUCUUCUCAUCAUUAAUAAAAU